rnacentral:misc_RNA from 1 species
AAGUAUCCACUUCUUAUAAUGGAACAUUGUAAUACUUAAUUCCACACAAACUAGCAUUACUAAUUAGAUGCCAACUUAUUCAUUAAUAAUGACUGGACUUAAUCAAAUGAUAUGAAUGAUUCAAGAGCAAUUAAAUACCUUUGGUGCUAAGUAUUAAGUAUGUGCUGAUCAUGAAUUUUUGUUGUUUACAAUAUCUUUUUUUUAUGUGAUGGAGUAAGAAAUCCUUUGUUAUAAGUAUAUAAGAAUGGUUUCCAAAGAAUGGACUACCAAACAAAAAUUAUGGAUAUAAUCAAUUUUUUUGUUGUUAAGGAGGGGCGUAUAUUUGCUAAUUGCAAACUUUUCCAUUUUCAUAUUGCCAUCUAAUGGUACAGGCAUGUAUUAAUUACAAUGCAAUAAAUCUGUGUCAAACACAAUGUGACCUUUGACCUCGAGAGGUCAUUGGAUAAAAGAACGUGUUUUAUAGACUGAGAGAGAAGUCAAAUGUUUUACGUUCAGGUGUAAAGUCAUGACACUCUCACUCGUUUGUUGUCAGAAGAUGUGUUACUAUAUAUUAUUAUUAUUAUUUAUUUUCAAUGUUUUCUUUUCAUUAAAAAUGCCAGAAAGCUG